AUGGCCGACGCCCAGCCGAAUUUCGGUGGCCUGGUCGUCGACCUGCCCGGAAAGGUGAAGAAGAAGGCGGCCAAGGCGCCAAGGAAGCCGUGGUCGGAGUGCACGCCAGAGGAGAUCGCCAAGUUGGACGCGGAAUCAGCGAAGAGGAGGGGCCAGAGAGCGGCCAUCAAGGUCAAUGCCGCCGCGGCCAAGUACGCCGCCGAGCGUGAUGCGAUGGAGGCCGUGCGGCGCAAGGCCGUGGUCGACAAGAAGGAGGACAUCGUCAACAAAGCGCACACCCUCCUCAUGCUUGGCAUGUGCCGUCCGGCUGGCAUGGGUGCCGCUUGCCCGCUGGGCCGCUGGCUGUGUGCCGACGAGAAAAACAUUCGUUUUGGAGGCCGGCUAUCUUGCCCGCCACUGGCUGUGUUGCCGGUGAGGACAACUAUUCAUUUUGGAGGCUUGCUAUGUUGUCGACCACUGGCUGUGUUGCCGACGAUGGACGUGUGGGCCACUAGCUCUGUUGCCGGCGGUCUGACGAUCCCCCCAUCCUCUAUUGUACCCCCGUCCUUGAAGUUUGAAGAGUUCUGGCUGCGACUACCCGGCUUCAAGGAAACGGCUCUCAAGAAAUGGCAAAGAGAUACAGUCAGAGUCCUCAAUUCUCAGAUUGGCAUAGCAAAGGAUGUAAUCUUGAGGCUUGACCUAGCCGAGGAGGGGAGGUCCCUCUCCCCAGCAGAGCUGGAGCUCAGAUGCAAGCUUAAGCUUUCUUAUCUCGGCCUCCUAUCCUUCCGGAAGGUUAAGCUACGCCAGCGCGCACGACUCACGGGUACCAGGCUGGGCGAUGUCAACUCUAAGUUUUUCCAUGCCAAGGUAAAUGGAUGCCGGCGGAAAAACUACAUCCAAACGCUGCACUCGGACCACGGUGUUGCCAUCACGGCAGAAGAUAAGGAGCAAGUGAUCCUUGCCCACUUCCAAGACCAUUUGGGAAACCCCAUGCCACAGCACCCAAGCUUAAUUUGGGACAACCUCGAGAUAACCUCGCAUGAUCUCUCAAAGCUCGAUGCACCUUUUGAUGAGGACGAGUUAAAAGAUGCGGUUUUCUCGCUACCCUCUGUCAAAGCACCUGGCCUAGACGGAUGUAGGAUCUCCCUUUACGCUGAUGAUGCGGGCAUCUUUGCGAACCUAGACAAGGAGGAGCUUCACGCGAUUUCGGUAAUCCUGAACACCUUUGGGGAGGCAAACAGACUGAUCACAAACUUGAGCAAGACCGAGGUCUUCCCGAUCAGAUGUGCUGGCAUUGACCCCCAAGAUGUGAUGUCGGUCUUCCCUGCCAAGAUUGCCACCUUCCAGGGAUGCUACUUGGGGCUCCCCCUGCAGUAUCGCCGCCUUAAAGGGGCAGAUCUGCAACCCUUCAUCGAUAGGUUCACAGGCAGGCUGCCAGGAUGGAAAGGAAAGCUUCUCAACAAGCCUGGCAGGGUGGCACUCGCCCAGUCUGUCCUCACGGCCAUGGCCACCUUCCACAUCACAACUCUCAAGUUGUUGAAGGGGACACUUAGAAAGAUCCACAACAUCAUUCGGGCCUUCAUCUGGCAAAAAGAGGACCAAUCUCAUACCUCGGGAGGAUACCCUAUGGGUAUGGGCAUGGGUACCAAUUUGCGCCCAUGGAUAGUGAAGUGGACUGGUGACGGUCCGCUCAAGCUUCUAGCUCUAGAGCUCUACAAGAUCACAUCAAGAAAGAACAAAUCGAUGCACAGUGAGCUCACGAACGAGAACUGGAUUGGGGCGGUGGCCAGACUACAGACCAUUCAGCAGCUAGGUGAAUUCAUGUCUCUCUCGAAUCACAUUAGUCAGAUCACCCUCCUCCCUAACAAAGAGGACACCAUUCACAGAAACUUAACCACCUCGGGGACAUACUCAGCCGCCUCUUCCUACGGUGCACAGUUCCUUGGCUCCUACUCAUGUUUCGGCACGACCAAGCCUGAAACAACAACUCACCUCUACAAAGACUGCCCCUUCACGGUCGCGGUCUGGAACCAGGUGAACACUUGGACUAGCGAAGGCGUUCCAAUCUCGGGCUUCCUCCCGGAGCCAGGAAACGUGUCAGACUGGAGGGACAACACUGAAUUCAUAGUCCAAUCAAGUGCACAAGAGGAGCAGUGGAAGAAUCAUCUACACGAUAUGGUCCAUAUGGAAGGAGCAAAAUAG
rnacentral:rRNA from 1 species